UGCCCUAGCGGCGAACGGGUGAGUAACACGUGGGCAACCUGCCCCUAGCACUGGGAUAACUCCGGGAAACCGGGGCUAACACCGGAUAUGACCUCAGAGGGCAUCCUUCGAGGUGGAAAAAUUUAUUGGCUAGGGAUGGGCCCGCGGCCUAUCAGCUUGUUGGUGGGGUAAUGGCCCACCAAGGCGACGACGGGUAGCCGGCCUGAGAGGGCGACCGGCCACACUGGGACUGAGACACGGCCCAG
rnacentral:rRNA from 1 species